rnacentral:rRNA from 1 species
GAUGAACGCUAGCGGCAGGCUUAACACAUGCAAGUCGAGGGGUAUUGGUUUUCGGACCAAGAGACCGGCGCACGGGUGCGUAACGCGUAUGCAAUCUACCUUUUGCAGAGGGAUAGCCCAGAGAAAUUUGGAUUAAUACCUCAUAGUAUAGUACUUUGGCAUCAAGGAACUAUUAAAGUCACAACGGCAAAGAUGAGCAUGCGUCCAUUAGCUAGUUGGUAAGGUAACGGCUUACCAAGGCUACGAUGGGUAGGGUCCUGAGAGGGAGAUCCCCCACACUGGUACUGAGACACGGACCAGACUCCUACGGGAGGCAGCAGUGAGGAAUAUUGGACAAUGGGCGCAAGCCUGAUCCAGCCAUGCCGCGUGCAGGAUGACGUCCUAUGGAUUGUAAACUGCUUUGUACGANAAGAAACAACAUUACGUGUAAUGUCUUGACGGUAUCGUAAGAAUAAGGUAU